AUAUACGACCAUACCUAUAAGAAAACUCUAGAUCCCGUCCGCUCUCCCAAAAAUAGAUCUAUGAGGGCCGGAUGCGUAGUUGGCACGGUGAAGACCAGCCAAUACCUAGCGUUGUAUGCU
rnacentral:rRNA from 1 species